rnacentral:rRNA from 1 species
UCUAAUCGUAUUAAUUUUAUUAAAGUAGUAUUAGUUAUGUUCUUGAAAUUUAAAGAUUUUGGCGGUAUUUUAGUCUUUUCAGAGGAACCUGUUCUAUAAUUGAUAAUCCACGAUUAAUUUUACCUAAUUUAGAAACUUAUAUAUCAUCGUAGUAUGAAUAUUUUAAAAGAAUUUAAAUAUUCAAUUAUUAUUAUUUAUAAUAAAAAUCAGAUCAAGGUGUAGUUUAUAAUUAGGAAGUAAUGGGUUACAAUAAUUUUAUUUAUAGAUAAUUAGUUGAAAAUUAAUUUUAAAAUGGAUUUGAAAGUAAUUAUUUAAAUAUUUUUAUAAUGAUUUAGCUCUAAAAUAUGC